rnacentral:lncRNA from 12 species
ACUCUUUCACUCGUCUGUGUGUUUUGUAGAUGAUCUACUUCCUUAUGUCUCAUAGAGCAGAGCAGCGACGGACUUUUAACAGAGCUGGUUUUUACUUUCAUUUACUGGGAAACGUAGCAGUAUCUAUUUCCGUUUCGGUCGCGUCAUCUAAAAACGAGACGGUACUGCCAUCUUCUGGAUAAAAUGCUUCUUGCUUGGUCUCUUAUUUAUAAGCACAAUUUCUCUCCACAUUCUUUUUUUAUAUGGAAUAAUCGUAAUAUACUCUAUAAAAACAAGUCUUUAUUUUUUCAGAACUGGUAUAAUAAUAAAAUAAUCUUAGUACGUGAUCUUUUUAAUGAAAGUGGUCUUCUUCUGUCAUACUAUGAGUUUCUACAGAAGUUUAACUUUCCUGUUUCACCCAGAGAAUUUGCAGUUGUCUUUGAUGCUGUUCCUUCAGGAGUCAUUACUUUAUUUAAAGGCCUUGAUAGAAUUCUAUAUUCAGUACCAUCUCUUUGUGAUCCAUUCCAAACAACAGUGGGUAAAGCUUGUCUCGUACCACAUUCAAGUAACAAACUGAUUCGUACUCUUUUUCAGAAGGAAGUUGUAUCCAAGCCAUAUGUUAUUGCCUAUUGGAGUAAUUUUACUAAUAUUACAAAUUGGAAAAAAGUUUGGCUUUUGCCUCAUAAAUACCUAAUUGUGAACAAAGUUAGAUUAGUUUCUUUCAAAUUAAUCCACAGAUUCUACUCAGUGAAUAGUUACCUAAAGAAAUUUAAACCUGAUAUUGACACAAUGUGUAACUUUUGCAAUGUACAAGAUGAAACGAUUGUACAUUUAUUUUGGCACUGUAAUUAUACAAAAGUGUUUUGGAACAGUUUUUGCAAAUUUGUAACUGACUUUGUGUACUCUAAAUUUUCUUUGUUUUGGAAAGAUGUUUUGUUUGGUUUUGUGGAUGUAGAAAAAAAUAUUGAGAAAGAGUUUUAUCUUAUAAAUCUUUUACUUCUCCUAGCCAAAUACCAUAUUCACAAGUGUAAAUUUUCCAAUAAUAAGCCACAUUUUAAGGUGUUUUUUAGAGAGCUGCAACAAUAUUUUGAAACGCUUUCAGCAUCGGAAAAUACUAAGACAAGGAAAACACUAACUUGUUUUAUCCUUUUCAGAAUUCCCCUGUAAAAUGUAUUACUUUGCAUUGUAUUUUUCUGUUUGUUUACUUAUUCAUAUAUAUUCAUAUAAUUCUCUUUAUUCAGAAGUUAAUUAGAUUUUCUCUCCCCUGGCUGUUCUCGGUGUUCCCUUUAUUUCUAGUUUUAUUUUAUUGUUGUUAUGAUAUAUUGUAACGUGUUAUUUGAGUGUUAAAUAGUUAAUAAUAAUAAUAAUAAAAAAAAAAUCUUCUGGAUAAAAUGUGAAACAUAGUUCAUACGACAGACGGUAGCAAUGAGCAUAGCUACUC